CCUACGGGUGGCAGCAGUGGGGAAUAUUGGACAAUGGGCGAAAGCCUGAUCCAGCCAUGCCGCGUGUGUGAAGAAGGCCUUCGGGUUGUAAAGCACUUUCAGUGGGGAAGAAAGCCUUGGGGCUAAUACCCUCGAGGAAGGACAUCACCCACAGAAGAAGCACCGGCUAACUCCGUGCCAGCAGCCGCGGUAAUACGGAGGGUGGAGCGUUAAUCGGAAUUACUGGGCGUAAAGCGCGCGUAGGCGGUCUGAUAAGCCGGUUGUGAAAGCCCCGGGCUCAACCUGGGAACGGCAUCCGGAACUGUCAGGCUAGAGUGCAGGAGAGGAAGGUAGAAUUCCCGGUGUAGCGGUGAAAUGCGUAGAGAUCGGGAGGAAUACCAGUGGCGAAGGCGGCCUUCUGGACUGACACUGACGCUGAGGUGCGAAAGCGUGGGUAGCAAACAGGAUUAGAUACCCUGGUAGUC
rnacentral:rRNA from 1 species